GGAUAGGUGUCUGAGUGGCCGAAAGAGCACGCUUGGAAAGCGUGUAUACCUCAAAAGGGUAUCGAGGGUUCGAAUCCCUCCCUCUCCG
rnacentral:tRNA from 1 species